rnacentral:rRNA from 1 species
UACGUAGGUCCCGAGCGUUGUCCGGAUUUAUUGGGCGUAAAGCGAGCGCAGGUGGUUUAAUAAGUCUGAUGUAAAAGGCAGUGGCUCAACCAUUGUGUGCAUUGGAAACUGUUAGACUUGAGUUCAGUAGAGGAGAGUGGAAUUCCAUGUGUAGCGGUGAAAUGCGUAGAUAUAUGGAGGAACACCGGUGGCGAAAGCGGCUCUCUGGACUGUAACUGACACUGAGGCUCGAAAGCGUGGGUAGCAAACAGG